CGGACGGGUGAGUAAUGCUUGGGAAUCUGGCUUAUGGAGGGGGAUAACUACGGGAAACUGUAGCUAAUACCGCGUAAUAUCUUCGGAUUAAAGGGUGGGACUUUCGGGCCACCUGCCAUAAGAUGAGCCCAAGUGGGAUUAGGUAGUUGGUGGGGUAAAGGCCUACCAAGCCGACGAUCUCUAGCUGGUCUGAGAGGAUGACCAGCCACACUGGAACUGAGACACGGUCCAGACUCCUACGGGAGGCAGCAGUGGGGAAUAUUGCACAAUGGGGGGAACCCUGAUGCAGCCAUGCCGCGUGAAUGAAGAAGGCCUUCGGGUUGUAAAGUUCUUUCGGUGAUGAGGAAGGUGUUUGUUUUAAUAGAACAAGCAAUUGACGUUAGUCACAGAAGAAGCACCGGCUAACUCCGUGCCAGCAGCCGCGGUAAUACGGAGGGUGCGAGCGUUAAUCGGAAUGACUGGGCGUAAAGGGCACGCAGGCGGUGACUUAAGUGAGAUGUGAAAGCCCCGGGCUUAACCUGGGAAUUGCAUUUCAUACUGGGUCGCUAGAGUAUUUUAGGGAGGGGUAGAAUUCCACGUGUAGCGGUGAAAUGCGUAGAGAUGUGGAGGAAUACCGAAGGCGAAGGCAGCCCCUUGGGAAUAUACUGACGCUCAUGUGCGAAAGCGUGGGGAGCAAACAGGAUUAGAUACCCUGGUAGUCCACGCUGUAAACGCUGUCGAUUUGGGGAUUGGGCUUUAAGCUUGGUG
rnacentral:rRNA from 1 species